rnacentral:lncRNA from 12 species
CUGCAGUGAGGACACCACCAUCUAUCUGUCACCCAAGCUGGGAGUCGUCCUCCCUGCCUCGCUCCAUACAUACAGGGUGGAUGGCUGUGCCUCUGUUUCCCUCCCUGCAUCUUCUCCGUUCCCACAGCCACUGCCUCAGUUCCUUCUGUAUCAUCAUCCCCUGGGUUUGACUACCGUGGCCUCCCACAGGUAUGCCCGUCCCCAUGUUCGUUCUCUACACCGUUACCAGAGUGACCUUUGUCCAGUAAUGAACGUCUGCUUAAAGUCCCCACUGGGACCCCAUCACCUUCAGAAGAUUGCCUCAGCUCUAGGGUCAUCCCGCUCACCCGUCGGACCACCUGUUCCACCAGGACUUCUCUUGGCUGCCAGGAGCUUGGAGCUGAGCUACUGUCAGACCCAUGUCAACAAAUAAUGAUAAAUAACAAGGUAAGUGUUGGUUUAUGUACAAGGUGGUCUGUGAACACCGGUGUAGAUGGAAAAACUGCUUGUUUUAGCAUGCUAGAAGAAGCUUCCUAGGGUACAGGAUAGAAAGUUGGCACCGAAUAUUGUAAGACAAGUUGUGUCCUCUGGACAGACAUGGGGGGUGAGGGAGUGGUUAGGGGAGUAGGGAGGAUAGUAUUCCAGGCAAACGAAAUAAGGGGUACAAAGGUGAUGGUGGCAGUGGUGGUGGUGGUGGUGAGAAAUGAGAAAGUGUGCCAGGUUUGGGGAAUUGGGACAAAGCAUGAGAGCCAGUGGGUGGCCAGAGAGAAGGUGCAGGAUUGGAUUUAGGGCAGGACAGCCAAAGAGCCCCAUAUGUGUCAAUCUUUAACAGGUCUAAAAUUAAAAAAAAAAAUACAAUGCUAAUUAACUCAGACACUUGUGGCUUCUUACAUAACUUUUGAAACCUAAAUUGGCCCUAUUCCCUUGAGGUAAGACCGUGUCCUUGCAUGUUACUUUAAAAAUUCUCCCGGCUGGCAAUUCCAAUUAUAUAUUCAGUGCAUGUAAGAAAUUCCUUAUUUUUAAUGUAAAGAGGUUUGUAAUUCUUAUUAAUAGAAA